UGUUGGGAUCCUGAGAGUGCCAGUGCCUGGGUACAGGCAGUAUUUCAGGCUUUCAAGGCUGUGGUGUUGGUGGGGUUGAAGUUACGGGCUCCAAACAGUAAAGCAGGACUUGGGUAAUACCUGGUUUACAGUUGGAGCAAACAGAAAAUUCCACUAAAAUAAAGAUAUGACAUGAAGAAAGGAUAGAGUUGGGAAAUGGAGUGGGAGGGUAGAGCAGAGGGACCUGGAGGGCACAGGAGGGGUGGGAACUGGGCUGGUGAGGUCAAGACUGUGGACACACCCUCCUCUUAUUGCUCCCUCCACCCUUAGAAACCCUUUGUGACUUCCAUGCUCUAUGAUGCAGGCCUGGGCUUAUAGGUAAGCCUGGGCAAACUCAGGGCUCAGUUGCUUCAGGCAGCCAUGCUAUUCACCUCAUGGGGAAUAUCCUCUUUUUUCUGAACAGCUGUACUGAGUCAGGGCUCAGCUCUGGCUUGGCACAUUGCUUGGAUAUUGACCCCGACUUCAUCUGCUUGACUGGGCUGGGGUUGUUUAUGCUGUACUUGUUCUACGUGCUAUUGACUCUCUAUUUGUCACCCCCCGGGAAAAAUAAUGACAUCCCAAUGCUUCAGGGCAGAGCCAGGAGGAGAGAGAAACGUGGGACAUCUAAAGAUAAGACCAGAUAACCUUCCAGAAAGCAGCAGAAGAGGAAAGGAAGCUGGUUUCUUUUCUGAAAAGUCCUGGCUGCAGCAUCGGGCCUCCUGCUUUCUGCAGUCCCCGUGAUACUGCCUGCUUUCGUCAACUGUUAUGCCCAGAUCCCCUCUGUGAGGUGUGUAACAGAACAGCUGCUGAGAUCCAGUGAGUGCUGUGUUGGGAGUCCCAGAAAGAUUCAGCCACCCCUCCAGAAGACUAAUAGUGUCCCCUUGUCCUGACCGUUCUCCACCACCCCCCUUAAUUCUCUCACCUGACCUGAUCACCCCUUUAGCUGACUUAUUUUCACUCUCACUGCUGAGGGAUUCUCUGCCACCAAAGCCUGUUCCUCCCCUGCAUUCCAAGUUCCCUAUAGACCAUUCCCCACCCCAACAGCUUCCCUUUUACCUUCUCCCACCACAUCACAUUCAGAGAGCAAAGCCCAAUCUCGAUCCUGAGGCCAGUUUGUCUCUGAACACCAUCUUUUCAUUUGACUCUAGUCAAAUAUUGGUUCUCCCCAGUAAAUGUUCUAAUAAGAAUUAUGUCUUUUCCAUGUACUGUGUUGUGGGGUAUAGAUUUUGAGUAACCCAAGCUUGUGUUUAGUGAAAGGUAGGAGUUAGUUCAGCUCUUACUGACUGCUUCCUUUGACUUCUAAAAGGUGACCAAUUCCCUGGAGCUCUUGUGGAGGAAUGGGUAUCCUGUGUCUCAGAAAGCCCCUUCUCUCCCUGAUGGAGUCUGAGGAGAUGGGCUUUUUUCUGCCUCUUUGCUUGAGACUUACUGAUAUGAUAUGGCAGCCUGCACGUUCCUCUCCAUUCACUGCUUCAUAUUUAGAGCAGUGAGGAAGACAGGCCUUCCGUUUGUGAAGAGAGGGUUAAGGACAGGUAUAUUUUUCAGAAAUAAUAGUUUAGUCACUAUUUUCAAAAAGUGUUCAGUUACCAGAGGGUCAUGUAAGUUGGUGGAGUGUUGAGGGUAUUGCUGGUUGCGGUAACCCAUUGUCAGGAACACCAUGGGUACUGCUUAAGAAUCUGAGAAACAGAGCAUGCUUAUAAUUUAGAGAAGCAUGUUUUGACCUCAGUGUUGAGGCUCUUCUACUAAAAAGUCACUGUGGGGAAGUAGUCCCCUCCGUGGGUAUUUCUCCAGGCUGCCUGCAUUGAUGACUUUUUGUUUUUUGAGACAGGGUCUCACUCUGUCGCCCAAACUGUAGUGCAGUGGUGUGAUCUCAGCUCACUGCAACUUCCGUCUUCCAGGCUCAAGUGAUUCUCUUGCCUCAGCCUCCUGAGUAGCUGGAAUUACAGGUACGCCCCUGUAAUUCCAUGCCUGGCUUAUUUUUGUAUAGAGACAGAGUUUCACCAUGUUGCCCAGGCUGCUCUUCAACUGCUGAUCUCAAAUGAUACGCUUGCCUCGGCCUCCAAAAGUGCUGGGAUUACAGUUGUGAGCCACUGUGCCCGGCUGAUUGGUGACAUUUUUGCAGAGCAGAACGAUCCUUUAUCUGUCUGUGGCAGCCAUGUUGACCAGGCAACCACCUACCACAUAGGGUAAAAUUAAGCUGAGAAUAAAGAAAAAAGCACCUUAGAAUGAAUGAGAAAGUAAGAAGAAGGUGAAGAUAGGAAAGGAUGACCCUGCUGGUGGAAAAAGGUUUGUGCCCCAUUCAUGUCCAUAUCACGACCCUUUCUCAAUCUGGAUCUAGGCACCACCCCCUUGAGGUUUACCAGGGCACUGCAGAGAUUAGAGAUGCCAUUUUGCCAGAAGUGUACACGGUUCUAUUUUUAAAUUACUGUAAUAGUAUAAGCAGGACUGUUUUCAAGCAUGACCUCCCUCUCUUUAAAGAAGAUGAUCUUUAUGCCUUCUCUCCAGCCAUGUUGAUGGCAACAUAGAAGAUCUUCCCUUAGUGUAUACGGUGCACUUAUCAGGAUGGAGGUGUCACCUAUGAUCUUCAUGGACUUAGUGGAAUAUAAUCGAUAUUGUCUAGAACACCCGCAGCUCAUGAUCCGGAGGUCUCCCUGCCUAAAAGCACUACCAUUUUGGAAGAAGGAAGACAUUUUAACUUCAAGUGAAGUUGGUGUUUUGAUGAAUACAUCUUACAGGACGUUUUAAUUACUGAGCUAGAUUAUUCGUGGCACUACGAAUUACUUAAAGAAUGGUUAAGAACAUCUGGGACCUUCCCUCACCUAGUAUUUCCUUCAAAAGGCAAGAGAAAAAUAAGUCUCCAGAUUGGUUAUAAGGGGUCUGUGAGGGGAACGAAUGAAAAUUUUCCCCUGCAUGCUAUGGAGUUCAGCUUAUUUGUUCUACUUAAUGAUUAUCCUUAUUCUAUGUGGUAGAGCUUAGCAAUGUACUGUUUACCUUCUGUCUGCCUUACUAGACAGAGAGCUCAAAAAGACAGGGGCUCUUGCAGACAGGUAUGGAAAAAACGAAAAGAAGAUAGGGGCAACAUUUUUAUUAAUCCUGUUAAUCCAAGACCAACUAUAGUACUUGACAUGGAGUGACCAUUUAAUGUUUGUUGAAUUACCUCCCUCCCAUCAUCAUCUUGGUGAAAGAAUUACUUGAAUGCCAAAAGUACUUUGAGUAUGAGAAAUUCAGUAUUUCAUGAUACAAAGAAGGCAGAAUGCUUAAGUGCAUAAAGAGAUAUUGUGUUCCCAGGUUUAGAUCCAUUUACCAUCACUCCAUUCAAUGGGAAAACACUUUACUUCUGAACUGUAUCACAGGGCUGGUUUUAUUCUUCCCUUUUUAUUCCAGCUCUCAGCCACCUAAUCUCUCUCCCCUGUUGCAACAGGGCAUGAACGUAGCUUUCAUGAGGCCCAGUGUUUGGAUUAAAUUCUAAAAAUAAUCCCCUUCUCUCCACAUCUUACACUGCUGUGAUUCUUUUUUAAAAGCAGAGUCUGAAUCCUUAUUGUUUAAAAGUCAACAUCUCCUGUAUUAUUGGGGCAAAUGCAAAAAAUCUGACAAUGUUGUGAACGACUGUGGAGAGGGCUUGUUUCCGUAUAAAAACUAUAGCAUUACUGUCACUGUGAUCCAGAGAUGAGAAGUUAUAAAACAUUUUGACUCAAAUAGAUGCCACAUGAAUUUAAAAAUUUUCAUGUGGAUAAUAAUUUUUCAAACAAAAUGUCGCCAUGAUUUAAUCCCUCCUAGAAAGACAGGAGUGUAUCUUCAAACAAACUGCCUAAGCUGUUUGUUCACAGUUUGCUUUUUGAUUCAGCAGGAUGGAUUAUGAGGGGUAACAACCAGAGCUGUGACAGCUCUGGCUAAAUCCCACAUGGCGUUCAAUCCUUCUCUCUUUUAGAAAUCUCUCCAAGUUUGGAAUUCUACGAAAGGCUUAAUGGUAGUCACUGGAGGAGUGCCUUGGCUUGAUGAACACAGUUCCUGGUACAUGGUAAUCACACAAAUACUGGUUGAAUGAAAUAAUGGACGAGCGUGGAUUUGACAUGAAAUAUGGAAGAAGUUAGAGGAGACAGCAUUAUAUGUGCUAGAGUUGUCAGUAAGUUUCAUGCAGGAUGAAUCACCAGUGCAAUCCAUGAUUCUUCAGGAUGUAACAUGGGCAUGCCCUUGACCUAUGCAUGGGGUAGAGGGAUAUCUAGAGCUUGUUUUUGAAAGGUGGGAAGUAUGGAUGGUCUCAGAGGCAGGGAAGAGGCACCAGGGGUUGGGUGAAAUAGGCUAAAAGAGUAGUGUGAAAUAAGCACAGGUCAUGAGGAAACUAGUUCUUCCGGUGGUUGAUGGGUAAUUGUAGAAAACUUGGUGGGACCAUGCACUGUUUUAAUAAAGGUGCUACUUUAUUAGCACUUUAUUAGCUUGGAUUCUUCAUAAGCAGAUCCUGUGAUGAGUAUUUGAGCAAGUGAUUUCUUAAGUAAGUGCUUCCAGAUGAGAUUUAUAAAAGAAUGGAGGGAAGGGGAGGAAGCCAAGCAAGGGUGUGUGUAUGUUUAGGCAAAGUCUUAGUCUCAGCCUGAUCAUGCCAGGGAGUUCUCAAGUAUAAAUUACACCUCAGAGUAUAUGCAGACCCAGGCAAGGGAGCCAGGUAUUCACACUUCCACUUUAGGUAUUAACUAAGGGCUAUUCCAAGGCCUGGUAAACUUCCAGGGAUAAAGUAGCUCAGAAGAAAGUAUCAGGUACCGUGGGCAAUUAGAAGCAAAACACAAUGAUGCCAGGGGAUGGACACACAGAAAGGUCAAAGGGGAGAUGGGAAGGAAUCUGAGCAGAGCUCUGGCAGGGUCUGCUACGGGAAUUCUAGCCUGAUGUGAUAGGCAACAGAGAUUUGUCACUGGCUGCACAUUAGAAGCACCUGAGGAGCUUUUAAAGAAAAAUUAGUGACUGAGCUCCAGCGCAGAUGAAUUAAAUCAGAACCUCUUCAGGUACAGCUUAGGUAUCAAUGGUUUUUAAAAUCUUCUCCUGUGGAAUCAAAUAAUUGCCUGGAUUAUAAGACUCUUGGGUAAGGAUGUGGCAGGAUGUAAAUAGUACUUAGGGAGAUCUAUGGGUAUGAACUUUUAGACUGGAUUGAAGGGAGAAGAAACUGGAGGAGACAAUGGAGUUUUGGCCAAUGCUGAUGACUUAGACUGUGAUGGUGGCAGAGCAAAUGGACAUAAAGAAAUACGUGUGAUGGAUAGUUUAAGAAAAAAUUCAAGAGACUUGACAACUGAUUGAAUGGGAGGGCUUGAGGGGAUGGAGGAGUCAAAGAUGGCUUGAAAAUGUCCAGGCUGGGAGUCUGGCUUUGAAGCAAUGUCAUUGAAGUACUAUGACUCUUAGGCCAUGUGGAAAAUUACAUCAGCAUAGCCCUUUGACAUUUGCAGCUGGAAAAGGGAAGAUGCUAUAUUAAUGAGGAAGCUUUUCUCAGGGACUAGAUUAUUCUUUGGUCAUGAAUUAGACAUUCUUUUUUUAAGACUUUCAGGGUAAAAGUGACUGUUUAAAUCAUGUAAUCCUUAGUAUAACAAAACUUGUUCCUUGUUCCAAGGAACUUGGACGUUGGGUGUUUGUAAAACGGUGUUCAUAAUUCUGCCAUACUGUGCUAGUGUUAAUAUUCCAGUUGAAACUAAUGGCAUUGGUUAGUUCUGCUAUAGAUUCGGCUGAAUAUACAAGCUUACAGCUAUCUAUCUAUACAUGCAAGGUAUUGUUCAUGUUUGGGGAGUUGUAAAGAGAAUAACUUUUAUCUCAAUAUAAUUAUGCAAGCACUGAGAUUUACAUAUUUUACUUAAUUGGGUAACUUUUCUUUGUAGGGACAAAGUAAAAGAUAGUCAUCAAACUAAUAAUGGUACUCUUUUCACAUAAUGUUUUCUCAACACUUCACAUGAAGAAUCUUGUAAGAUAGUAAAGAAAGUACUGUAAUUAUUUGCACCUUACAAAUGAAAUAGUUGAGGUCCACAGAGGUAAAAUGUCUUAACCAUGAUUGCUCAGCAUGAAAGGUGGUAGAAAAGUGGCUGAUGUCAGAACAUUUGUUUCCCAGGUGAAGUCUCUUUCCGUUAUGGACUAGCAGUGAUGUCAUUCUGAAGCACUAAGAAAUGAUUCUUCUGAGUUACGCUUCUCCUAGGUAACGAGCAUUCUGAUUUGGUGUCUUGCUUCCUAUAUAUGAAUCGUGGCGUUUCAUUUGGAGCAGCAGCAGCAGCAACAAGUAUCAGUUUGACGCUAUCAGAUGUUAGAUGUCGUUACUGGUACUUAGCAAACAUUUCCUUUAAUCUUCUUAAAAAUCCUGUAUGGUAAAUAAAUAGCCUCAUUUUGCAAAUAAGAAAA